CAACAUUAUCAGAGAUCAAGGUAACUGGAUUGCAGUUCAGAGAUUUCAGUACAAGAGAGUCUUUGAAUUUGGAUUUUCUUCUCUGAAGCAACUUCAACCCAUUUAGAAGAUAUCUUGUGAAUAAAAUGAGAAUUGGCUAAAACAGAUGAAGCAUGCACCAAAAGAAUCCUGAACUUAAAGUCAUCCUGGAACAUAAAAAUGCCCUCUGAGUGGAAUUAAAGUGAGCAGGAACAGGAAAGAGAAACACCGGACGCAAAAAAAAGAAGCCGGAGUUCUGACCAUUACGAGUUCCAGCAAGGUCAGAAGCCCACUCAUCAAAAUAGAGGACCAAUCAGCAGUAAUAACCAACUUGCAAUCCUUAAUUUGAUUGUUUAUUAGUCAAUCAACAUGUGCCAGCAUCCCUAGUAUCUAUAUCUCCACCUCCCUUUGUUUAAUCUAAUAAAAAUCCCUCACCACUCCAUCUCAGGGAGGCACAUCCGAAGACUUCCCUCCUGUAUCCACU